rnacentral:pre_miRNA from 1 species
AUACAAAUAACUUAAAGAUCUUGGUAAAAAGUAGAUUCUAAUUCAUUAGGACUUGAGAUUCUGGAUUUCUAAUAAGCUCCGAAGAUGCUGGU